CAGUCUCGAAGGCGAUGGUUUGAGGAAACUCUCAUCACCUUCACCUCCCUGUUGGACUUGAGCCGGGCUUCGUGCCCGGCUUUUUUU
rnacentral:ncRNA from 1 species